UACGUAGGGUGCGAGCGUUGUCCGGAAUUAUUGGGCGUAAAGAGCUUGUAGGCGGUUUGUCGCGUCUGCCGUGAAAGCCCAGGGCUUAACCCUGGGUCUGCGGUGGGUACGGGCAGACUAGAGUGUGGUAGGGGAGACUGGAAUUCCUGGUGUAGCGGUGAAAUGCGCAGAUAUCGGGAAGAACACCCGUGGCGAAGGCGGCUCUCUGGGACGGUACUGACGCUGAGACGCGAAAAGCGUGGGGGAGCGAACAGGA
rnacentral:rRNA from 1 species